AUUGAACGCUGGCGGCAGGCCUAACACAUGCAAGUCGAACGGUAACAGGAAGAUGCUUGCUUCUUUGCUGACGAGUGGCGGACGGGUGAGUAAUGUCUGGGAAACUGCCUGAUGUAGGGGGAUAACUACUGGAAACGGUAGCUAAUACCGCAUAACUUCGCAAGACCAAAGAGGGGGACCUUCGGUCCUCUUGCCAUCGGCUGUGCCCAGAUGGGAUUAGCUAGUAGGUGGGGUAACGGCUCACCUAGGCGACGAUCCCUAGCUGGUCUGAGAGGAUGACCAGCCACACUGGAACUGAGACACGGUCCAGACGCCUACGGGAGGCAGCAGUGGGGAAUAUUGCACAAUGGGGGCAAGCCUGAUGCAGCCAUGCCGCGUGUAUGAAGAAGGCCUUCGGGUUGUAAAGUACUUUCAGCGGGGAGGAAGGGAGUAAAGUUAAUACCUUGACUGAUUGACGUUACCCGCAGAAGAAGCACCGGCUAACUCCGUG
rnacentral:rRNA from 1 species